AAAUGAUCAAGAAACAAGAAAAAGAAGAAGAAAAAGAAAGGAAAGACUUCUAGAGCUCUGCGGAAUUUACUGUCCCUGUAGGGCAUUGCCUUGUCUUUGUUUUUUUGUUAUCUAGUCGCGAUCGCCUUUUUUUUCGUGGUUGGUCUGUCAGCAGUCUUGGUGAUAUCAACGGGCUGUGUGCGUGGCAAAUA
rnacentral:ribozyme from 13 species